rnacentral:rRNA from 1 species
UACGAAGGGGGCUAGCGUUGUUCGGAUUUACUGGGCGUAAAGCGCACGUAGGCGGAUCGAUCAGUCAGGGGUGAAAUCCCAGGGCUCAACCCUGGAACUGCCUUUGAUACUGUCUAUCUGGAGUAUGGGAGAGGUGAGUGGAAUUCCGAGUGUAGAGGUGAAAUUCGUAGAUAUUCGGAGGAACACCAGUGGCGAAGGCGGCUCACUGGUCCAUUACUGACGCUGAGGUGCGAAAGCGUGGGGAGCAAACAGG